AGAGUUUGAUCAUGGCUCAGGAUUAACGCUGGCGGUAUGCCUAACACAUGCAAGUCGAACGGAAUACUAAUUUAAGAGAAUCUCACACUAGUGAGAGGUUCUCACGAGUAGUAUUUAGUGGCGGACGGGUGAGUAACACGUUGGAACCUGCCCCGAAGUGGGGAAUAACUGCUCGAAAGAGUAGCUAAUACCCCAUAGUAUCCGGUUUAUCCGGAUUAAAGAUUUAUCGCUUUGGGAGGGGCCUGCGUCUGAUUAGCUAGUUGGUGAGGUAAAAGCUCACCAAGGCGACGAUCAGUAGCUGGUUCGAGAGGAUGACCAGCCACACUGGGACUGAGAUACGGCCCAGACUCCUACGGGAGGCAGCAGUGAGGAAUCUUCCACAAUGGGCGCAAGCCUGAUGGAGCAAUACCGCGUGCAGGAAGACGCUUUUCGGAGUGUAAACUGCUUUUGUCGUCGAAGAUUAUGACUGUAGACGAAGAAUAAGGACCGGCUAACUACGUG
rnacentral:rRNA from 1 species